ACUGCUAUAAAGAUUGCUAUAAGGUAAUAUGUCUAUGUGUAUUAGUCAGGGUAAUCUCAGUGGCUUAACACAAGACAAGGUGUUCACUUGGCAUCCUCCUACAUGGUUAUUCAGAAUUCUGGUUCCUUUAUCUCAUUGCACCGCUGUUCACUGGCUGCUCUGCAUUUAACCAGCAAAAAUGUUGAGAGUGAGGAAAAUCCUGCAGUACGUCUUGUGGGCAGGCUUGGAAACGGAAUUCAACACUUCCAUAAACAUUUCACUGGCCAGAACCUGAUCCCCCCGGUUCCAAUCUACAUGCAAGGGAAGCUGCUAACACAGUCCUGUUUGCCUGCAAGAGGAAAGGAGAUUGAAAAGAAAUUCAUGCUAAUGGUAUCCAAUGAAACAAGCUAAGAUGCAUGAAGAAAGAGUUUACGAUUUCCCUUUCUCCUUCCAGCCCCCACCCAGGCUGUGGUAGAGAUGACAACUUCUCAUCACUAUCUGUUUUUCUCGUCUUCCUGGUGCACAACUAGAAGACAUUUCUCAUUCCUCUUGCAUUUGGUGAGGCCACACUGUUAGUGACUACUCACCAAGGAAGUUUAGGAAAAGUGAGACUUCUCCAUCUUUUUGCCAAUUGCUGGAUGAAUGAAGACUUUCCGAAGGAAGGAAAGACCGCAAGAUAGGAGGAACACAGGUGGCACAAGGUCAGGCUACUCAGCAGAAGGUCUUAGAGGGAGACUCCUAGAGGAAGGGGCUUCUCAUCCUAGUUCUGGGGCCAUUUUUCCUAUUGAUUCUAGCAGAAUGUGGCAGCAAACAGCAGCCCGGACUCCUAGAGGCACUCAUCCUCCAGCAAGUUUCCCUGGCUCUCCAGCGGGCAGCAUCUAACAUAUCCCUGACUGACCUGACCGCUGGAAAGGAGCCUCUGGCCCCCACAGCCUGUUACAAGAGUAUGAACUAAUCGUGUUCAGCCACUAAAAUUUGGGGCUGCUACUUAAAGUAAUUAAACUACUUUGAGCAAAUAGUCAAAUGACAGAAUUGUGGUAGCAAUUAAUACUUGGUAAAUCAAGUACUCUAGGCUUUUCUUUUUCAAAUUGACAUAGCUAUUCUCAAUAAUACUUUCACAUGAAAUUUGACUUAAUUUUAUCUCAUCCCAGUAAAUGAGAAUUCCACUCCCCCGGAAUUCUGAUUGAAAUAUUUACAAAAGUUAACAUUUUUUAAAUAUUAGCUCUUUCCCCUGGGAAACGUAUUGUGCCUCCAUAUUUGUUUAGACUUUCUAUGGUGUCCUCCAGUAACGUUUUAUAAUUUUUUUGUGUAGGAAAUACCUUGCUUGUUAAACUUAUUUGAUCACUACUUCAAAUGAGAUAUUUUUCUGUUUCUGUUUUAAAGCAUUCUUUCCAAUUCAAAGAAUUUCUAUGGGUUUUUGUAUAUUGAUCUUUUUUUUAAUCUAUCUGCCAAAUUUUCUUGUUAAUUUUCAUAGUUUUAAGAAAAUCCUUUGGGUUUUGUCAUCUGAAAUAGAGAUAAAUCUAAUAUCUGCAUUGAUGUUUUCUUUUCUUAUUA
rnacentral:lncRNA from 1 species